rnacentral:rRNA from 1 species
GAUGAACGCUGGCGGCGUGCCUAAUACAUGCAAGUCGAACGCGCAGCGAGAGGUGCUUGCACCUUUCAAGCGAGUGGCGAACGGGUGAGUAACACGUGGAUAACCUGCCUCAAGGCUGGGGAUAACAUUUGGAAACAGAUGCUAAUACCGAAUAAAACUUAGUAUCGCAUGAUAUCAAGUUAAAAGGCGCUACGGCGUCACCUAGAGAUGGAUCCGCGGUGCAUUAGUUAGUUGGUGGGGUAAAGGCUUACCAAGACGAUGAUGCAUAGCCGAGUUGAGAGACUGAUCGGCCACAUUGGGACUGAGACACGGCCCAAACUCCUACGGGAGGCUGCAGUAGGGAAUCUUCCACAAUGGGCGCAAGCCUGAUGGAGCAACGCCGCGUGUGUGAUGAAGGCUUUCGGGUCGUAAAGCACUGUUGUAUGGGAAGAAAUGCUAAAAUAGGGAAUGAUUUUAGUUUGACGGUACCAUACCAGAAAGGGACGGCUAAAUACGUGCCAGCAGCCGCCGCCG